AUCAUGAUUUACACUUGAGUGAGUGGCGAACUGGUGAGUAACACGUGGGAAACCUGCCCAGAAGCGGGGGAUAACACCUGGAAACAGAUGCUAAUACCGCAUAACAACUUGGACCGCAUGGUCCGAGCUUGAAAGAUGGCUUCGGCUAUCACUUUUGGAUGGUCCCGCGGCGUAUUAGCUAGAUGGUGGGGUAACGGCUCACCAUGGCAAUGAUACGUAGCCGACCUGAGAGGGUAAUCGGCCACAUUGGGACUGAGACACGGCCCAAACUCCUACGGGAGGCAGCAGUAGGGAAUCUUCCACAAUGGACGAAAGUCUGAUGGAGCAACGCCGCGUGAGUGAAGAAGGGUUUCGGCUCGUAAAACUCUGUUGUUAAAGAAGAACAUAUCUGAGAGUAACUGUUCAGGUAUUGACGGUAUUUAACCAGAAAGCCACGGCUAACUACGUGCCAGCAGCCGCGGUAAUACGUAGGUGGCAAGCGUUGUCCGGAUUUAUUGGGCGUAAAGCGAGCGCAGGCGGUUUUUUAAGUCUGAUGUGAAAGCCUUCGGCUCAACCGAAGAAGUGCAUCGGAAAUUGGGAAACUUGAGUGCAGAAGAGGACAGUGGAACUCCAUGUGUAGCGGUGAAAUGCGUAGAUAUAUGGAAGAACACCAGUGGCGAAGGCGGCUGUCUGGUCUGUAACUGACGCUGAGGCUCGAAAGUAUGGGUAGCAAACAGGAUUAGAUACCCUGGUAGUCCAUACCGUAAACGAUGAAUGCUAAGUGUUGGAGGGUUUCCGCCCCUUCAGUGCUGCAGCUAACGCAUUUAAGCAUUCCCGCCUUGGGGAGUACGGCCGCAAGGCUGAAAACUCAAAGGAAUUGA
rnacentral:rRNA from 1 species